AGGCAUUUUUGUUUCAGCGGUGAAACCCAAACGCCAUCUGUCAGCCACCGUUACCCACAACGAUGAUUCAUGAAGACAUGACAUAUUUGGAAUUGUUUGAAAACUACAACCACGACUGAGUCGAUUGUGACAGAUACGGACAGCCAGAAGAAGAAGAGCCUAAACAGAAUGAGAGUGCUGAUCCCAUUUUUGUUCAGAUUAUAAGUCAUAUUAUAUUUUUUGAGGAAGAAAUAGUUAUGUGUUACUUUUUUUCAUUUGUGCUUUCUAGGUUUUGUUAACCCAGGCUGUUCUCUAAGCAGUAAGUCACCGUGUUAACUGGAGUCUGAGACGUAGAGGCAAGCUGCUUCUUCACGUCAGCCUGCAUCUCUGACCAGUAUCUGACUGAGCCCACAGAGAGGAAACUGACAUCAGGGCUCCAUCUAAUUCCUGUGUGGCACCUCCUAUGGAUGAAGGCACCCUUAGCAUUCGUGUAUACUGCCUAUGCCACAGGCCGACACAGUUCACAUGUUCUGAGCACCGCUCUGCAGGGAGAAAGUCCUGUGUUUGGUGACCCAUCCACCACCCCAACCUGCAUCCUGGUGGGGACUGCUUCCUUCUCUACUCCUGUC